rnacentral:rRNA from 1 species
GGCUCAGGACGAACGCUGGCGGCGUGCCUAAUACAUGCAAGUCGAGCGAAUCGAUGGGAGCUUGCUCCCUGAGAUUAGCGGCGGACGGGUGAGUAACACGUGGGCAACCUGCCUAUAAGACUGGGAUAACUUCGGGAAACCGGAGCUAAUACCGGAUACGUUCUUUUCUCGCAUGAGAGAAGAUGGAAAGACGGUUUACGCUGUCACUUAUAGAUGGGCCCGCGGCGCAUUAGCUAGUUGGUGAGGUAAUGGCUCACCAAGGCGACGAUGCGUAGCCGACCUGAGAGGGUGAUCGGCCACACUGGGACUGAGACACGGCCCAGACUCCUACGGGAGGCAGCAGUAGGGAAUCUUCCGCAAUGGACGAAAGUCUGACGGAGCAACGCCGCGUGAACGAAGAAGGCCUUCGGGUCGUAAAGUUCUGUUGUUAGGGAAGAACAAGU